GAGUUUCUAAGAAAGUGGUCUUCUUCCCAUCGAAGAGAUAUAUAUUAGAAACAGAAAAAAGAGUUUCUAACAAAGUGGUCUUCUUCCCAUCGAAGAGAUAUAUAUUAGAAACAGAAAAGAGAGUGAUGUACCCUAGCUAUUGUUUUUUCUGCCCACUCAGAAAUCAUAGUCCGGAAAAUUGAUAAGGUAAACAGCAGAAGAUUGUAGGAGAUUGUGGGCGCUUUCAGCAGAGAAAAAGGUUAGUCUUUUACAUAUGGUUUUGGCUUGCCUCCAUGCUUGUUUCAUCAUGAUUUGUUUCCGCUGCGUAAAU
rnacentral:lncRNA from 1 species